AUUGAACGCUGGCGGCAGGCCUAACACAUGCAAGUCGAACGGAGUGGCGGACGGGUGAGUAAUGUCUGGGAAACUGCCUGAUGGCGGGGGAUAACUACUGGAAACGGUAGCUAAUACCGCAUACUAUCAGAUGAGCCUAGGUCGGAUUAGCUAGUUGGGGGGGUAAAGGCCUACCAAGGCGACGAUCCGUAGAUGGGCUGAGAGGAUGAUCAGGCACACUGGAACUGAGACACGGUCAAGACUCCUACGGGAGGCAGCAGUGGGGAAUAUUGGAAAAUGGGCGAAAGCCUGAUCCAGCCAUGCCGCGUGUGUGAAGAAGGUCUGCGGAUUGUAAAGCACUUUAAGUUGGGAGGCGUUACCAACAGAAUAAGCACCGGCUAACUUCGUGCCAGCAGCCGCGGUAAUAC
rnacentral:rRNA from 1 species